rnacentral:rRNA from 1 species
AUUGAACGCUGGCGGCAGGCUUAACACAUGCAAGUCGAGCGGAGCGAGGGUGCUUGCACCUUAGCUUAGCGGCGGACGGGUGAGUAAUGCUUAGGAAUCUGCCUAUUAGUGGGGGACAACAUUCCGAAAGGAAUGCUAAUACCGCAUACGCCCUACGGGGGAAAGCAGGGGAUCUUCGGACCUUGCGCUAAUAGAUGAGCCUAAGUCGGAUUAGCUAGUUGGUGGGGUAAAGGCCUACCAAGGCGACGAUCUGUAGCGGGUCUGAGAGGAUGGUCCGCCACACUGGGACUGAGAAACGGCCCAGACUCCUACGGGAGGCAGCGGUGGGGAAUAUUGGACAAUGGGCGGAAGCCUGAUCCAGCCAUGCCGCGUGUGUGAAGAAGGCCUUUUGGUUGUAAAGCACUUUAAGCGAGGAGGAGGCUCUUAAGGUUAAUACCCUUGAUGAGUGGACGUUACUCGCAGAAUAAGCACCGGCUAACUUCGUGCCAGCCGCCGCCGUAAUAC